rnacentral:rRNA from 1 species
GGUCGCAAGAUUAAAACUCAAAGGAAUUGACGGGGGCCUGCACAAGCGGUGGAGCAUGUGGUUUAAUUGGAAGCAACGCGCAGAACCUUACCAGCGUUUGACAUCCUAAUCGCGGUUUUCAGAGAUGAUUACCUUCAGUUCGGCUGGAUUAGUGACAGGUGCUGCAUGGCUGUCGUCAGCUCGUGUCGUGAGAUGUUGGGUUAAGUCCCGCAACGAGCGCAACCCUCGUCCUUAGUUGCCAUCAUUCAGUUGGGCACUCUAAGGAAACUGCCGGUGAUAAGCCGGAGGAAGGUGGGGAUGACGUCAAGUCCUCAUGGCCCUUACACGCUGGGCUACACACGUGCUACAAUGGCGGUGACAGUGGGCAGCAACCGGGCGACCGGUAGCUAAUCUCCAAAAACCGUCUCAGUUCGGAUUGUUCUCUGCAACUCGAGAGCAUGAAGGCGGAAUCGCUAGUAAUCGCGGAUCAGCAUGCCGCGGUGAAUACGUUCCCAGGCCUUGUACACACCGCCCGUCACACCAUGGGAUUUGGAUUCACCCGAAGGCAGUGCGCUAACCGCAAGGAGGCAGCUGACCACGGUGGGUUUAGAGACUGGGGUG